CAUGUGAUUAGGAUGAUUAACUAUCCUUUGGCCUCUUGAAUCCUGGUGGGUGGAGACAGCACAGCCUCCCUCAAACAGUAAGGAACAAGAAGAUGCUAGAGCAAACAAAUAUCGUACUGAACUCUUGUAUCAGGAAAAUGCUAUUUUUAUCUAGAGUUCUGUGUGCGAUUCAGUGUGUCACCAACUGAAACUUGUGAACCUGAUCAUCUUCAUUUCACAAAGAAGUCAAACGGCUCAUCAGAGAGAAAUGAAAGGGCUGUUCAUUCACAGUGCAGUGUUCAAGAAACUUAUGUGAUCCAUUGUGAUUGGGCAAAAUUGUCAUUUCUGUCAGGAUGGUGAGGAAAAGAGGAAGAAGUGGACAAGACAGAAAGAGAAAAACCAGGAGGAAAGAGAGAAAUUGCAUGGUGGAAGGACUUGCUCACAUUUAUCAGUCCGCUUAUUUCUGUGACCAGCUGUUUUCCUCUAUGAUAGCUAUUAAACCUGGUGUACCAAAUCACCUGAUGGAUGAUAUGAGCAUUACUUGAGUAGCUUUGAAAAUAAACAAGUAUCAAUCAUAGAUCAAGAAAUGUCCAGUCAAAUGUGAAAACACACUUCCACUAAGACGGUCUCUCAGAUUCCUGCUAAAUGAGUUAUGAAUACACCGUACAGACAAUCAAUCUUUGUUAGGAUUUCAGAAUCUAAGAAAGACCACUGAAUUUUACAAACUGUGAAUCAUGUGGGAUUGCCUUGGGGCUAACACUCAGUCCAUUCACAGGAAGCUCCAAGGAAGUCAAAACCAACAGUGAUAAACCACUGAAUUUUGGAUCAUUUAAAAGGAAACUUCUUUAUAUGCCAAUUUGAUACCUGAUAUUGACAGUAAAGUGCAGCUAACUGCAGCCCAAGAAAAGUGGAAUAAAAUCAGUGCAAAACAAGAUCAGCAUUUUAAACGAACCUUGGAAAAACUAUUGUGUGAUCAGACACUGCAAUGAAGUGAUGGCACCCGUUGGGUAAUGGUACUCCUGGAUAAAGAGCUGAAUGCUGUGGUUUCAGUGACUUAUCACUGAAACCUUGUGGUUUCUGUGUAGGAGCGCUGUACAAGUACAAGCUGGACAUAUUUGACAUCUUUAUUUCUGUGCUGUGAAAUCCAAUUUAUGAAAAUUGCCUCUGCUUUUAUUUUAUUCUUUUUCUUUAAUGAAGUCAGUGCCACAUUUUCCUUGCAUUCAGUGGAAACAAAAAAGUGGAAAUAUUUUAAGGUAUCCUGUGAACCGCCUUUGACCUCUAAAGAGAGAAGAAUCAAUAUGUCCUGUUCUAUGAUUAAUAACUAAGAUAUUUUACUUUUAGAAAGAAGUUAAAAAUCAAUGACCAACUAAUGGGUGGGGAGGAAGCACUUAUCUGAUGUGGAGAUAAACUGAGGAACUAAGUGAAGAGCUCAUUUGAAUUAGAGUUCAAUCACCUGAAACCAAAAAAAAAAAAAGAGAAAAAUAUCUAAUUAUUUGCAUUAAGUAAUUGUGAAUUAACUACAGUAAAAUGCCGUUUAAAGGAUUGUGAUCUUCCUGUUGGUUACAAUAAACCCAUAAAACCUUGCAAAUCAGAUACAUGCUGAACUACUAUAAGCAGUUUUUGAAACGUGAUAAAGUAGAGGAAUGGUAAUUGCAUAUUCUUGAAUGCCAGAUCCAAACUGGGCAACAAGGUGCCUAAGUGGGACUUUGACAGAAUAUAAAUACACAAGCCACAAAAAGUGACCCAGAUCCAGUUGGCUCCACUGGCUGCAAAACCACUUAGACAGCUAACAUAAUUAAUUAUUUUGGUGCCUCCAUUUUGGCCUGAAAAAAAUCUGUAGGCAUCUAAAUUUAGGCUUCUUCCCAUGCUCAGAAGUGAUCCACUUUGAACUCCUAAACUCCUAGCUCCUAUCUAAACUCCACUUCAAUCCAUAUGGGAGCUGGGUAAGCACCAGGGAUCCUAGUCUUUUCUGUUUAAAAAUUGCAAAUUCUCUGAUUAAAAAAAACCCAAAUCCAUGUUUUCCCACGAUUAAAAUGAAACACUGCUAUAUAUAUAUAUAUAUAUAUAUAUAUAUAUAUAUAUAUAUAUAUAUAUAUAUAUAUAUAUAUAUAAGUAUCAGUUAUUUUAUUGAUAUAUUUAUAGUUUUAAAGCAAUUUGGAAGCCUACCAGUGCCUCAAUAACUAUAAUAAAAUAAAUUCUAAAUACCUUUACAUUUUGGUGGUUUAUUUUGGUACUCUCGCAGCAUCCUUUGGUCACCAGGACGUGGGUCCAGCUGUGGUUGCCCCCACUUUGUGGUGCUGAGCAGCCCUGAUAUGUCAGUGCCCUGCCCAUGCCAUUGCCCCUCACUCCCCACCCACAGUCACCUUGUGUUUCAGGACCUCCUCAUCCUAAUGGGAUUUAAACACAUGUUUCUUCUUCCCCUAUAUGCUUAACUAUGAGGCUGUAGAACAAGUUGGAGAGGAGUGCCCUCCAUCCCUCUGUUGAAGAUGGCCAGUUGGCAGCUAAGAGUUCAAGAAUGGAGGCCAGAAGGAAAACAAGCAAGAGGAAGAAUGCUUCUGUAGGCCAGUGAUGAGUAUAUUCUCCUGGGACAGGGAAAAACUGAGUUUGAUCCCUGCUUCUGUCCAACCUUAUCAAUUUGGAUUAACCUCCUAGGCCUAGGUGCCUUGUCUUAGACAAGCUAUUAUCUAAAUGGAGGUGCCAAUGAGGUCAAUUUGUUUUUUGUUUUUCUACUGUGUGCAUGACAAGAACAAACCACGAUGUGAACAUCUCUAGUGCUUUCAACAGGGAAAAGUUUUGUUCUUCCUACCAAAUUACAUCAAGCUGGGUAGGAAAGACUACUUACCCCACAGUGUGAAGCAGUAACGAAGCCGCUGCCAUACCUUUCCCUGGGAGGGAACAGCAUCAAAAUACUGGUACAUUCAUAGGUUUUGUCCUCUCUAUUCCAUCAGGCUGCUCUAUUAUGUUGGUAAGUGCUGGGAGAGCCCAGAGAGAGCUUAGCACUGUGGAAUAUGUGGACCACUCUGUGAACUCAGCAAAUCCUGACUUCAUCCCUGUCCUGCCCAUCAUAACCAAACUAACUGCACCAACUGCACAACGUCAGAAGCCUUCUGCACAUGCAAGUUUUGCUCAAAGUGUUUCUGUAGCGCAUGCAUCCUUCUCUGUGCUGAAGCAUUUGAAAUGAGUCUGCCAGAGCUUAAUUAGAAGUCCUUUGAAUAUGAAACAGGGAGAGUGAAAGAAAAAUACCACUCAGUGUUUCAAAACAGAUCUCCGGUGUCCUUGUAGAAUAUAAGAGGAAUUAGUAUUUCUGUGUGAAACAUCCAUUCAACAUACCUGUAGGUGUAAAAAAAAAACCCAAACAAACCCUGAAAACAUUAAUCAAAACUGCAUACCCAGCUUGUGUGCUUUUUUAAUGUAUCUUGUGCUAACAAAGAUUGAACGUAUGAUUACCUAUUUUAAAAUCAUUGUCGAAAAAUGCCUAUGAGGUUCACAUGAAUAACUUUCAGUAAUUUCUGUAACAAGCGGAAGCCUCUGCAAAUAAAAGGAUUGUAAAUGUUG